GCGGGCGUGGCGGAACGGCAGACGCGUGGGACUUAGGAUCCCAUGAGCAGCGCUCGUGAGAGUUCGAGUCUCUCCGCCCGCACCA
rnacentral:tRNA from 1 species